AACCUUCUGCUGACCAGUGCAGCGCUUUAGCCCACUACACUGCAAAAACAGUCGUGCUCAUGGAGAGCAGCACACAAAUGUUUGGAGCAGACAGAGUGACAGUCAGAUUGUUCCGCACAUGUUCUCCUGCUUUUAUUCAGGGUUGUGUGGAUCAGGAGCAUCAUCAUGGUCUUCCUCAUCCCCUCUGUGUACUCAGACAAUAGCCUCGAUGCCCCUUUCUCAUCCAUGAUCAGAUUCAGUCUGACUGCAGCAGUGAGGGUCGUGAUGGACGGCAGAGACAGGUGAAGGUGGACACGGUGGUCUUCAUCAGAAUAAAGCUGCAGAACUGUCUCAGCUGUGUUGAGAUGCAGUAGAUGUGGGCUCACCGUCUGUAAAUACAUGAUUGUUAGAACAAUGUUUGAAUAAAGCUUUGUUUCAUGUGUC